rnacentral:rRNA from 1 species
CGCGGCCUAUCAGCUUGUUGGUGGGGUAAUGGCUUACCAAGGCUACGACGGGUAGCCGGCCUGAGAGGGCGACCGGCCACAUUGGGACUGAGACGCGGCCCAGACUCCUACGGGAGGCAGCAGUGGGGAAUAUUGCACAAUGGGCGAAAGCCUGAUGCAGCGACGCCGCGUGAGGGAUGACGGCCUUCGGGUUGUAAACCUCUUUCAGUAGGGAAGAAGCGAGAGUGACGGUACCUGCAGAAGAAGCGCCGGCCGACUACGUGCCAGCAGCCGCGGUAAGACGUAGGGCGCGAGCGUUGUCCGGAAUUAUUGGGCGUAAAGAGCUUGUAGGUGGCUUGUCGCGUCCGCCGUGAAAACCCGAGGCUCAACCUCGGGCGUGCGGUGGGUACGGGCAGGCUAGAGUGUGGUAGGGGAGACCGGAAUUCCUGGUGUAGCGGUGAAAUGCGCAGAUAUCAGGAGGAACACCGAUGGCGAAGGCAGUUCUCUGGGCCAUCUACUGACACUGAGAAGCGAAAGCAUGGGUGAGCGAACAGGAUUAGAUACCCUGGUAGUCCAUGCCGUAAACGUUGGGCACUAGGUGUGGGGGACAUUCCACGUUUCUCCGCGCCGUAGCUAACGCAUUAAGUGCCCCGCCUGGGGAGUACGG